ACUGGUGGGUCUGUACCAUGCACAUACCCAAAAAAGAGUGUGGCACGAGAGAUGACAGAUGACAGCAACAAAACCAGUGUGGGGACUGCGGGGAACUCUCAGGUUGAUUUUAAAGAGGAAGUCUGAAUAGGAAUCAUUUACUACUCCCAUGAUUACACAAGAAAAUGAUAUCAUCAGCAGGAUGAAAGACUGUACAGAGAGACAGCAACAUUCAUUACUUCCCAGCUGAAAUCAGGACUCAACCUGGAAACAAAAGCUUCGGUUCCUCUGCGGUUGGGUAAUUAAACACAGAAGGGGCUGAACAGAAAAGGCUUUUCAUUUGCCACUACACAGACCCUAAAGUGAGCUGGUGUGGAAGACAGGCUGUGAAGAGGAAGAGCAAGUCAGUACUGAUAUCAAAGACAAGAGCUGGAAGGAGCAGCUAUAUUAAAACCCAUUAUGAGAUGAGCAACAUCCAGAGAGCCAGGGGAUGGAUCUCAAGUUGAGCUGCUUGAGACAGGCACAGCUUGGAAGUCACAUUUCCAUAACCCACAUCCUGCAGUUGGGCACUCUGAGGUUUAAAACUCAAGCACUUGGAUGAAGCUGAAUCUAAAUUUCUAUGA